rnacentral:rRNA from 1 species
AUGGGCAAGGUCGUCGACUCCGCCGGCUCCUCGUCGGGGCAGAAGCGGAAGAGCGAUGGUCACGAAGACAGUGUCGUGCCCGACGACCCCAACUUGCGGCUGUCGCUCGGCUGCAUCUACAGCAGCGUGUCCACGCAGUGCACGACUGCUACGACGCCGGCCGCUGUGAACCUCCUGCUGGCGCACCUACCUGUGCCUGCGGCCGGUGUGGCCAUUGCUACUGGAGUCCAGAUCGGUGCCUCCCCAACUGCAGUCGCGGCAUCUUCGUCGCGCAUCCUCGCUGCAUCGGCCUCCAUCCCAUUCAUGGCGAAACAACCGCCGACUACCUCUCUCGUGCCGCCGAUAAAGCCGGACGUGGUGGUCCCGCUCGGUUCACCGGUGGCAUGUUCCGCGCAACCUCCUUCGACCCGGCGGCGCAUCACCAAUGGCGUACUACCUCAACCUCAGCCGCCGUCGUCCAAGACUGGCUCCGUUUCUCAGGCUUCCACAAACGGCACCCCACCCGCGAUCCCGCCAUUUCCUUGGGCAACCAACCGCGCCGCGAUACACCACCCGAUCUCCUACCUCUUAGACCAGGGCAUCACCACCGUGGAGGGUGAGGUCAAGUGCAAACGCUGCGACGUCCUGAAGACGGUCUCCUACAACAUCGCCGUCAAGUUUAAGGAGGUCCGUGACUUCGUGACCCGCAACAUCCAUGACAUGGACGACCGUGCGCCAGCAGCAUGGAUGACCCCCGCUGUGCCGGACUGCGACGGGUGCGGACUGAGGAACAGCCUACGUCCGGUGAUAGCGUUGGAAAAGGAGAGGAUAAAUUGGGUGUUCCUGCUGCUGGGGCAGACGCUUGGGCUAUGCACGCUGGAACAGCUCAAGUAUUUCUGUGCGCGCACCGGCCAACACCGCACCGGCGCCAAGGACAGGGUGCUCUACUCCACCUACAUGGAGCUUUGUAGCCAGCUCUGCCCUGAAAGGCUCUUCAACCUGACGGCGGAGAGACAGAAGAGGGGUCAGCAGUAUUCCUGA